CUGUGCUAAGUGGGGAACUAGCGGUGCCUUGUACUCGCAAACCGCUCUAGCGGGACUGAAUUCCUCUUUAGAGGUUUAUCUACUUCAGCCUCUUGGAUAAUAAAUAGGUGAUGAGAGUUGGGUCCCACGCGGCAGAGUUCUGGAAACCCCGUCAGGUCCGGAAGGAAGCAGCGGUAACCAGCCACUCUGGGUGACGUGGAAUAACCUUACUUGAGUCUAUUUGUUUUUCAAUACUACAGUAGGUUUAUCGAAUUAGGGGUGCACAG
rnacentral:SRP_RNA from 1 species